rnacentral:rRNA from 1 species
CCUACGGGGGGCUGCAGUAACGAAUCUUCCCCAAUGCACGAAAGUGUGAGGGAGCGACGCCGCGUGGAGGACGAAGUCCUUCGGGAUGUAAACUCCUGUCAGGGGUUACCAAGUUCUGAGGAGCCCCAGAGGAAGUGGCGGCUAACUCUGUGCCAGCAGCCGCGGUAAGACAGAGGCCACAAGCGUUAGGCGGAAUCACUGGGCUUAAAGCGUGUGUAGGCGGGCCUGUAAGUACCUUGUGAAAUCCCACGGCUCAACCGUGGAACUGCUUGGUAUACUGCGGGUCUUGAGCCACCUAGGGGCGAGCGGAACAAACGGUGGAGCGGUGAAAUGCGUAGAUAUCGUUUGGAACGCCAAUGGUGAAAACAGCUCGCUGGGGGUGUGCUGACGCUGAGACACGAAAGCCAGGGGAGCAAACGGGAUUAGAUACCCUUGUAGUC